GACGAACGCUGGCGGCGUGCCUAACACAUGCAAGUCGAACGGAACUGUUUUGAAAGAUUUCUUCGGAAUGAAUUUGAUUUAGUUUAGUGGCGGACGGGUGAGUAACGCGUGAGUAACCUGCCUUCAAGAGGGGGAUAACAUUCUGAAAAGAAUGCUAAUACCGCAUGACAUAUCGGAACCACAUGGUUUUGAUAUCAAAGAUUUUAUCGCUUGAAGAUGGACUCGCGUCCGAUUAGUUAGUUGGUGAGGUAACGGCUCACCAAGACCGCGAUCGGUAGCCGGACUGAGAGGUUGAACGGCCACAUUGGGACUGAGACACGGCCCAGACUCCUACGGGAGGCAGCAGUGGGGGAUAUUGCGCAAUGGGGGCAACCCUGACGCAGCAACGCCGCGUGAAGGAUGAAGGUUUUCGGAUUGUAAACUUCUUUUAUUAAGGACGAAAAAUGACGGUACUUAAUGAAUAAGCU
rnacentral:rRNA from 1 species